GUUUUCUUUGCUACAGCAAGAGGGUUUUGAGAAAAUUGGCUUUCUCUCAUAUUAUCCAUAGUAUUAGACGUAUGAAUCAGAAGCACAAGAAUGAUACGAAAAAUCGGGCACUUCAGAAUAUUUUGUUUUCUUUGCUACAGCAAGAGGAUGAAGCAAAAGCAAAAAGAUCACUGAUCACACUUUGUGAGCUUCAUCGGAGAAGGGUGUGGUUUGAUGAUAGAACAG
rnacentral:misc_RNA from 1 species